rnacentral:rRNA from 1 species
CAGUAGCCACGGUAAUACGAAGGGUGCAAGCGUUAAUCGGGAUUACUGGGCGUAAAGCGUGCGCAGGCGGUUCGCUAAGACAGAUGUGAAAUCCCCGGGCUUAACCUGGGAACUGCAUUUGUGACUGGCGGGCUAGAGUAUGGCAGAGGGGGGUAGAAUUCCACGUGUAGCAGUGAAAUGCAUAGAGAUGUGGAGGAAUACCGAUGGCGAAGGCAGCCCCCUGGGCCAAUACUGACGCUCAUGCACAAAAGCGUGGGGAGCAAACAGGAUUAGAUACCCCGGUAGUCCCUGUCUCUUAUAC